rnacentral:ncRNA from 1 species
UAAUUUGAUUUGGUUUUUCAAUAAAAAAUUAUAUGUUUUUUAUGUUUUCUUUAAAAAAUGUAUAUACAGAAAAUAAAAUUUACUUAAUAAUAAAAGAUUAUUGAAACUUAUAAAAAAUAUUUAGCGGAUUUUGUGCCAGCAGCAGCGGUUAGACAAAAAAAUAUAUUAUUAAUUUAAUUUUUUUUAAUAAAAAAAAUAUUAAAAUUAUUAAUUUAAUAAGGUGAAAUUUUUAAAUUAAUAUAAAAUUUUAUAUUAAAAAAAAUCUACCAAAGACUAGGAUUAGAUACCCUAUUAUUAAGAAAUGUAAUAUUGUUAUUAAGUAAUUUUUAUGAAAACAAAAAAUUAUGGCGGUAUUUCAAGCUUUUCAGAGGAAUUUGCUCUGUUAUGGAUAAAACACCUAAAUCUUACUAAAAUUAGUAUAAGUCAGUUUGUAUACCACUAUUAUAAUAAUAAAUAACAUUUAUUUUUAAAAUUUUUAAAAAAUAUAUAAAAUAAGUUAAGUCAUGGUGCAGCAUAAAUUUUUAGAAUGAAGUGAAUUACAAUUCUUUUUAGAUAAUUAAAAAUUAAAUAAAUUUUAGGAUUUGAAAGUAAAAAUUCAAUAUAAUGGAAUUUUGAAUUAAGCUCUGAAAUAUGUACAUAUCGCCCGUCGCUCUUUCUUGAAGAUAAGUCGUAACAAAGUUAAAAUACUGGAAAGUGUUUU